AAAUUGGUGAUUUAUAAUAACUUAGCAAAUCGCAAAGUGAAAACAGGCGAUAAAUCAUUCAAGUUUCUGACCUAUCAGCUUUCGACGGUAUGGUAUUGGCUUACCGUGGCAGUGACGGUUAACGGGGGAUUAGGGUUCGAUUCCGGAGAGGGAGCCUGAGAAACGGCUACCACAUCUAAGGAAGGCAGCAGGCGCGCAAAUUACCCAAUUCUAACAGUUUAAGAGAGGUAGUAACAAGAAAUAACAAUACAAGGCAAUUAAAAUGCUUUGUAAUUGGAAUGAUAGAAAUUUAAACCCUUUUUAAAGUAUCAAUUGGAGGGCAAGUCUGGUGCCAGCAGCCGCGGUAAUUCCAGCUCCAAUAGCGUAUAUUAAAAUUGUUGCAGUUAAAAAGCUCGUAGUUGAAGUUCUGCUAAAAGUAACCGGUCUGCUUUUAAUAAAAGUGGUAUCUUGGUGUGUAUUUAGCAAUGAUGUCCUUUGAAGUGUUUUUUACUUUAUUGUAAUAAAGCAUAUUCAGGACUUUUACUUUGAGAAAAUUAGAGUGUUUCUAGCAGGCCAACGCUUUGAAUACUGCAGCAUG
rnacentral:rRNA from 1 species